AUUGAACGCUGGCGGCAGGCCUAACACAUGCAAGUCGAGCGAGCGGCGGCCGGGUGAGUCAUGUAUGGGGAUCUGCCCGAGAGAGGGGGAUAAAGACUGGAAACGGUGGAUAAUACCGCAUACUAUAGGAUGACCACAUAUGGGAUUGGCUAGUAGGUGGGGUACAGGCUCACCAAGCCGACGAUCUCUCGCUGGUCUGAGAGGAUGAUCAGCCACGCUUGGACUGAGCCACGGCCCAGACUCCUACGGGAGGCAGCGGUGGGGACGAUUGCACAAUGGGCGCAAGCCUGAUGCAGCCAUGCCGCGUGUGUUAAGAAGGCCUUCGGGUUGUAAAGCACUUUCAUCGAGGAGGCGUUGCUCGCAGAAGAAGCACCGGCUAACUCCGUGCCAGCAGCCGCGGUAAUUC
rnacentral:rRNA from 1 species